CUUGUCACAUGCAUGUUUCUAAACUCUAGCUCCCUUUUAUCAGGUGUUUUUGAACUUUGUUGUUGAGUUUCCUAUGAUUUCAUUCUGUUUCGCAAGAUAAAUUAUGAUAAUGAGAUUGAAUUUCUUCAUUUGGAAUGCUUGUGUAGUAUUUGGUCAACUCUAAACUUGAUUCUAAGUUAUAUCUACUCUACAUGAAUAGAGAGUGUGAAAGAAUACUGUUCAUAAGAGAAAUAGCCAUCCUGGCCGUUCAUUCACUUUUAUAAGUGGCCCCACUUGGCUUCAUUCUUUUCUGACCGUAGAUCUUUCUUUCUCUUAGUUGGGCUGGCCCAAAUAGCAAAAGCUCAGUUGUUCCCUUACCUCUGUGCUCUGUGUGAUGUCUUUUUUUUGAACUUCUGUGUGAUGUCAAUUGCUUUGUUGAAGCUGGAAAGGUUGAACGGGAAUAGUGAUUGAUGUGGCUUCCGUUUAUCAUGACGUUUUCUUCGUCACUGUUUCAUGGAGUACGAAUUUUUCGUCACCAUGAAUAGUGUUAGGUCAAAAUCACAAUCAGAAUCAGAAGGAGUAGAGAAGAUGGUGGAAGGAAAAGGACCAAUUUUUCACUGUCAAUGGAUGGGUGAGGAAGCUAAGAUGACAUGAUAGAUCAUCAUCCCAAUUUUUGAAGAAAAAGGGAAGUUGGUGGAUUGAGAAGGAGUGUUGUCCGGUGAGGAUCAGAAGAAGCAGAGAAGAUGAUGGACUCUUUCGUAAGUGUAGCAGGGAGUUUGCAAGCGAUCAAUUUCCAAUAAAUUGUACUACUGUGAUACUCAUGUCUUUUAUGGUUGGACCUGUGAAUGGAUAUGGAGUUUCCUCAUUCUGUGGCUAUUUCCAAAAAGUAUAUGGAGCCAAUGGGUACAGUGUUGAGCAAUCACUUGAUGUUUUUUGGUUUGAUUGCUUUUCCAAUGCCCACAAGGAUUUAGAGUUUGUUGACAAUUUUUUUUUUUUUGCCUUUUGGCAGGUUGAUCCAGAAACAGAUGAAGAGAAAACACUUUAACCCACGGCGAGAGCACUCAGACAUGGGGAAAGAGGGAUGGAGGUCUGUAUGUAGAGGAUUGGUGGAAGCCCAUAUGUGCGAAGGUAUGUGAAUCACUCUGUCUUUAGUUUUGAAAUCCUAAUUCUAAGUUUCAGGUGUAUCGUUCUCGGUUAUUUUUUCUGGUUACAUGAAAUCUUCUUCUUUGAAUUUGUGAAAUCCAGUCUCUCUGCAUAAGUGAUAAGCGCAUAAUUGAUGCACUUUACGUGUAUCUUUUUAAGCUUCAUUAUGUACAUUCUUGUGCUUAAUUGUUAUGACUUAGCCAUAUUUUGACCAUUAGUGCUUAUUUGGAUUAUUCAUGGAAAAGUGCUUAAUUCUACACUUUUAGUUUCUAUGACUGUUUUGCUAGAACAUGUUGAAUCUGGAGCUAGCAAUAUCGAAAUAAGGCCCAUAAUAUGUCGUUGGAAAGCUAACUCGAAGCCCUACAACUUUCAUGUUCAGAACAAUUGAAGAACAAGCUUCUAACAUGGUCAGAAUUGCCUUGCAAAGUUGCUAUCGCUAAUCCUGCGAGUUUGGAACAGUCUGCACUAAAAUGAUCAUAUCUUGGGCUACAAAACUCCGAAUUAGGAUCCGAUUGAAGGCCUGCGAAGCUGACUUAAAGAGCUACAACUCUCAUGUUUACCUCAAUUGAAGAUUCAGACUUCUUGUGGGACCCACGAAUGCCUGAUUGUUCAGCAGCUUACUCCUUUAUGUGGGCCCGAUUUUGUGAAGAUUUAGAAAAGAUUUAGAUAACAAAGAUUGUUACUUGAUGAACAAGUUUAUUUAUUAGUAUAAAUAAGUGAGUUUAGGCUUUUGUUAGACACCACCACCUCACCACAUCUCACCAUCACCUCCUCCACCUUCUCCUAAUAGCUCUCUCCAUCUUUUCUAGUAUGAGUUGCUAAACUCCAUAGUUAGUCAUAGGAUUUUUAAUAUUCUUGUGUUUGCAAACUUGAGGUUCUAUUCUUAAUGCGAAUUUGUUCUUAUUAAUUCUCUUCA